CAAGAAGAUCAAAAGAACGUGAUCCUGCUUUACGAAGACCAGGACGCUUUGGCAGAGAGUUCCUCUUCAACUUUCCAAAUAAAGAGGCUAGAAAAGAAAUUUUCAAGAUUCAUACUCGUGACUGGACCCCUAAGCCACCGGACAUGUUGCUUGAUGAACUAGCUGAGAAAUGCAUUGGAUACUGUGGUGCAGAUAUCAAAUCUUUAUGAACUGAAGCUGCGCUGUGCUCUCUACGCCGAU